CUACCUGUGUUGUGCUCAGGCAGAGCUAAGUUCUAAACUGAUUUGCAUAUACAAUCAGAGGAGCCACUGUGCAAUGACAUCAUCACAGCAUGAUAGAGGUCACAGAUAGAACCCAACUGGUAUUGAUGCAGACAGGAAGCCAAAGCAUUCUAUCUUCUACUCUGAGAAUACCUCAAGGCUGGAUAUAAAACAUUGAGAGAUCAUGUGACAUCUUCAAGGCAACAGACUCUGUCUUUCAUGACCAGAACAAGGUCCCAUUCACUGUUUCUAGGCCUGAACUACUGAUUAUAAAUGAGCAGCUGACUGAAGAGU
ensembl:lncRNA LOC120100749 uncharacterized LOC120100749